rnacentral:ncRNA from 2 species
CAGGAAUCAUAUGACUGGCGGAAGUGGAUUAUAACCACAGGGAGUAUGAUUCUUAAUUUUGCCGACCGCCUGGGUAACUUAU